rnacentral:miRNA from 1 species
UGUCACCCUAAGACUGCUCUAAU